UCGUCCACGGGACGCAGCAGUGAGGAAUAUUGGUCAAUGGGCGGGAGCCUGAACCAGCCAAGCCGCGUGAAGGAAGAAGGCGCCAGGCGUCGUAAACUUCUUUUGUCGGGGAACAAAGGGCGCCACGCGUGGCGUUGUGAGUGUACCCGAAGAAAAAGCAUCGGCUAACUUCGUGCCGGCAGCCGCGGUAAUACGGAGGAUGCGAGCGUUAUCCGGAUUUAUUGGGUUUAAAGGGUGCGUAGGCGGUCCGGAAAGUCAGCGGUAAAAGCCCGGGGCUCAACCCCGGCGCGCCGUUGAAACGGUCG
rnacentral:rRNA from 1 species